GUGCCAGCCGCCGCGGUAAUACGUAGGUGGCAAGCGUUGUCCGGAAUUAUUGGGCGUAAAGGGCGCGCAGGCGGGCUGAUCAGUCACAUUUAAAAGUGCGGGGCUCAACCCCGUGAGGAGUGUGAAACUGUCAGUCUUGAGUACAGGAGAGGAAAGUGGAAUUCCCAGUGUAGCGGUGAAAUGCGUAGAUAUUGGGAGGAACACCAGUGGCGAAGGCGACUUUCUGGACUGUGUCUGACGCUGAGGCGCG
rnacentral:rRNA from 1 species